rnacentral:rRNA from 1 species
AGGCAGCAGUGGGGAAUAUUGGACAAUGGGGGCAACCCUGAUCCAGCCAUGCCGCGUGGGUGAAGAAGGCCUUCGGGUUGUAAAGCCCUUUUGGCGGGGAGGAAGGGUGUGAGGCGAAUAGUCUUGCACUUUGACGUUACCCGCAGAAUAAGCACCGGCAAACUCCGUGCCAGCAGCCGCGGUAAUACGGAGGGUGCGAGCGUUAAUCGGAAUUACUGGGCGUAAAGCGCAUGCAGGCGGUCUGUUAAGUCAGAUGUGAAAUCCCCGGGCUUAACCUGGGAACUGCAUUUGAAACUGGCAGACUGGAGUCCUGGAGAGGGGGGUAGAAUUUCCGGUGUAGCGGUGAAAUGCGUAGAUAUCGGAAGGAAUACCAGUGGCGAAGGCGGCCCCCUGGCCAGAGACUGACGCUCAGAUGCGAAAGCGUGGGGAGCAAACAGGAUUAGAUACCCUGGUAGUCCACGCUGUAAACGAUGUCAACUAGCUGCUUGUGUCUUCGUGACGUGGGUAGCGCAGCUAACGCACUAAGUUGACCGCCUGGGGAGUACGGCCGCAAGGUUAAAACUCAAAUGAAUUGACGGGGG